rnacentral:miRNA from 1 species
GGAUACAUUCAGUAUACGUUUA